GUAGGUGGCAAGCGUUGUCCGGAAUUAUUGGGCGUAAAGCGCGCGCAGGCGGUCCUUUAAGUCUGAUGUGAAAGCCCACGGCUCAACCGUGGAGGGUCAUUGGAAACUGGGGGACUUGAGUACAGAAGAGGAAAGCGGAAUUCCAAGUGUAGCGGUGAAAUGCGUAGAGAUUUGGAGGAACACCAGUGGCGAAGGCGGCUUUCUGGUCUGUAACUGACGCUGAGGCGCGAAAGCGUGGGGAGCAAACAGGAUUAGAUACCCUGGUAGUCCACGCCGUAAACGAUGAGUGCUAAGUGUUAGGGGGUUUCCGCCCCUUAGUGCUGCAGCUAACGCAUUAAGCACUCCGCCUGGGGGGUACGGCCGCAAGGCUG
rnacentral:rRNA from 1 species